UAUACUCAUUCUUUUGACAGUCAUCCGAGAGUGUACAUCAAGAGCUGCAAAUUAUCUUAAAUAAUAUCAGAGUUGUUGAAAAAAAUUUACAAUGUUUCAAUCUGUGCAAGGCGAGUUUAAACCCUUUAGACCAUGGGAACAAAAUUUCACUCAACCAAAAAAAUUUGGAAUGCCGCCAGCUUUUCCACCGAUAGCUCCUCCCUUUUCAUAUCAGAUCCCUCCUCUCGGAGAAUUUUUUGUCACAGUUUCCGACGUUUAUACAAAUUCUUCCGAAUUCCGUCCCUUCAGAGGGACAAACUUUAAAAAGUGGUGGAAAUUCUGUCCGAAUGCAACAAAUCGGUGUUCUGCCAUACAUUCAACCUUAUUUGGUUCCGCCAGCACGUCAAGUUGUAUAUAGAGACUUCGUGCGAAGACAACAAACGCAAUUUCUGUCGAAUAUCCCAGCAUUUUCGGUACCUCUUGUACGAGAAAAUACAAGCGGAAAUUACUUGGGUGGGCCAACAACUCGAAUGCAGCGAAAUAUGAUCAACGUUAAUGUACAUAAUCAAAGGGAGCAAUCUUUAAGACGAUCUCGAAAUUUUUCAAGUUUGCGAAAUAACGUAACUCUUGCGUAUUUGGAAGAGAUUUUACCUUACCAACCACAAAAGGCUCGUAAGUUUCCUGCAAAAGAUCGCACAGUUGAGGAACAGCUACGACGUGAUCGUAAUACGAUCGCUUGCCGGAAGAGCCGCCGGCUAAAGCGUUUAAUACUACGCUUUCGAAAUAGUAAAAAUUGAUAGGGAUUUUUGUAGAUAUUUAUUGUAAGAAUAUUUGUUUCUAGGUCAGUUAUGCUAGUAAGAGUUAUUUAAUUAUAAGAAAUCGGUUCUUCGGUUAUUUCCGGCUUUUAACUUACUCUAUCACCAAGUUUAAAAAGCUGCAAGUAACUAAAGAGUUUAUUUUAUCUACUUUGUUUUGCAGGUAUCGGAAAGUAAGUUCUCCGGUUAUUUCCGGCUUUUUACUUAACUCUAUCCCCAAGUUCAAAAAGCUGCAAGCAACUAGAGAGCGACUUUGAAAAUCCGAUUUUACGGCUUUCCUUUUGCUUAAUUCUAUUUGUUUAUAUAUUAUUUGCGUAAUUAAUUGCUUGUUUAAUUUCUUAACAGGUAUCGAGAAGGAAGUUCUCCAGCUGCUUCGGCUUUGCACUUAAAAUCAUUAAUAAGUUCAACGAACUGCUAGUGGCAAGAGAACCAACUUUAAGAAACCGAUGCUUCGGUUACUUUGGACUUUUACUUCGCCCGAGUAAAAGUUCAAAAGGCUGCAAGUAACUAGAAAAUUUAGCUUAUUAAGUAAUUUAUAAAUUUUGUGACUGGCACAGCGCAACAUUUUUGGAGUGUAAUGCAGGUCGCCUCCCCGUUGGUGCACUCUGGGUAAUGCGAAAUGGCCUGCGCCUUCACGGCAAAUGGGAUAACAUCGUUUUCUUCUUCUAUGAAUGCUCUGAAUUUAGGGAUAAUUCUUUCUCGUCUCCAAUUGGCCGCAUUAUAAUGUCAAGUAAAUGCAACAGUCUUCACUAGUAAGGCAGCUGGUCAAAUCAAGUAGGGUUUCAUCAUAACUGAAGGCUUCUAAAAAUACAGAAUAAUAAAGCACGAGACGACAAGUGAAACUAUCUUUACUGGUGAUGAGUGGUAAUCGUCGAAUCGGAGUGCCGGGAUGUAAAAGUCAUUCUCUGUACAGAUGGCAAUAUAUAUCAUCGUCUAUCAGUUGCGAGCGCCUUUCCUUGUUGGGCAUAAGGGUAACACUUUUCGAAAUUAUUCAAUUCGGAUUAUUGUCCUUCGAACCUAUAGGCGGCGCCGUGGGGAAAUCCGUUAUGUAUGAAAUCAGGUUUAAAGAUUGGACAUCGACCAUAUCAAAAUUCUGGCAUUUCCGUCGUCGUAAAGAAAUCUGAAAAUCAAAGAACUUUAAACGCAAAUGAAGACAACAACAUCAGACAUCAGAGUUGAUUUCGCGGUAAAGCGAAGCUCUGUUGAAAUACGGAAACGCGGAGUUGAUUGAGCCCUUCAACCGAUUUUUGAUUGUAUAAAACAUGGCUUUUCAAAGAUUGAUCAGAAUCAGGAAGUACUUAAAGAAAAACUAAGUAGAGGAUCCAGUUCAAAGAUAUAGUGAUCACCGCAAAACCUCUUUUUUGAGAGGAGCACACGGAUAUCAGUUGUAGUUCAUUUUCAAAUAAAUAUUUUUACUAAUACUGUCUUAAAUGCAGUUAAAAGAUAACAGAAUAUGUAUAC